rnacentral:tRNA from 1 species
GGCUAUAGCCAAGCGGUAAGGCAACGGACUUUGACUCCGUCACUCACAGGUUCAAAUCCUGUUAGCC